rnacentral:rRNA from 1 species
AGACCGGCGCACGGGUGCGUAACGCGUAUGCAACCUACCUUCAUCUGGGGGAUAGCCCGAAGAAAUUCGGAUUAACACCGCAUAAAAUCACAGAACGGCAUCGUUCAAUGAUCAAAUAUUUAUAGGAUGGAGAUGGGCAUGCGUGUCAUUAGUUAGUUGGCGGGGUAACGGCCCACCAAGACCGCGAUGACUAGGGGAUCUGAGAGGAUGGCCCCCCACACUGGUACUGAGACACGGACCAGACUCCUACGGGAGGCAGCAGUAAGGAAUAUUGGUCAAUGGAGGCAACUCUGAACCAGCCAUGCCGCGUGCAGGAAGACAGCCCUCUGGGUCGUAAACUGCUUUUAUUCGGGAAUAAACCUACUUACGUGUAAGUAGCUGAAUGUACCGAAGGAAUAAGGAUCGGCUAACUCCGUGCCAGCAGCCGCGGUAAUACGGAGGAUCCAAGCGUUAUCCGGAUUUAUUGGGUUUAAAGGGUGCGUAGGCGGCCUGUUAAGUCAGGGGUGAAAGACGGUAGCUCAACUAUCGC